AUACGUAGGGUGCAAGCGUUAAUCGGAAUUACUGGGCGUAAAGCGUGCGCAGGCGGUUUUGUAAGACAGAGGUGAAAUCCCCGGGCUCAACCUGGGGACUGCCUUUGUGACUGCAAGGCUAGAGUACGGCAGAGGGGGAUGGAAUUCCGGGUGUAGCAGUGAAAUGCGUAGAUAUGCGGAGGAACACCGAUGGCGAAGGCAAUCCCCGGGGCCUGUACUGACGCUCAUGCACGAAAGCGUGGGGAGCAAACAGGAUUAGAUACCCUGGUAGUCCACGCCCUAAACGAUGUCAACUGGUUGUUGGGUCUUCAUUGACUCAGUAACGAAGCUAACGCGUGAAGUUGACCGCCUGGGGAGUACGGCCGCAAGGUUGAAACUCAAAUGAAUUGGCGGGG
rnacentral:rRNA from 1 species